AUCGCUUCUCGGCCUCUGGCUAAGAUCAAAGUGUAGUAUCUGUUCUUAUCAGCUUAUUUACUAACACCCGGUAUAAUCGUACUUAACCAUAUACAAAUAUGUGGUGGAUUCGACAAAUAUUCAAAAUAUCUCGAUAAACACUGGCUUAUCGAAAAAGUACUAACAGGCAGACAAGUUUUAAAAAUACUGUGUUUAACUAAU
rnacentral:snRNA from 1 species